rnacentral:rRNA from 1 species
AGUGGCGAACGGGUGAGUAACACGUGAGCAACCUACCCUUGACUNUGGGAUAACAGUUGGAAACAGCUGCUAAUACCGGAUAUUUACCCCGGCNGGCAUCUGCUGGGGUANAAAGCUCCGACGGUCAAGGAUGGGCUCGCGGCCUAUCANCUUGUUGGUGAGGUAACGGCUCACCAAGGCGUCGACGGGUAGCCGGCCUGAGAGGGCGACCGGCCACACUGGGACUGAGAUACGGCCCANACUCCUACNGGAGGCAGCAGUGGGGAAUAUUGCNCAAUGGGGGAAACCCUGACNCAGCAACGCCGCGUGCGGGACAAAGGCCUUCGGGUUGUAAACCGCUUUCAGCAGGGACNAAGGAUUUCUGACGGUNCCUGCAGAAGAAGCACCGGCUAACUACGUGCCAGCAGCCGCGGUGAUACGUACGGUGCCAGCGUUGUNCCGAAUUAUUGGGCAAAGAGCUUGUAUGCNGUCCNUCACGUCGGAAGUGAAAACUCAUGGCUUAACCCUGACCUGCUUUCGAUACGGGCAGACUUGAGGGAUGUANGGGAGAACCGAAUUCCUGGUGGAGCGGNGGGAAUGCUCAGAUNUUAANGAGGAACACCAUUGGCGAAGGCGGGUCUUUUGGACAUUACCCUGACGCUGAAAAACCAAAACCUUGGGGAGCAAACANGCUUUANAUACCCUUGGUA